rnacentral:rRNA from 1 species
UACGUAGGGGGCAAGCGUUGUCCGGAUUUAUUGGGCGUAAAGAGCGUGUAGGCGGCCUGAAAGGUCAGCUGUGAAAAACUCGAGGCUCAACCUCGAGACGUCGGUUGAAACCAUCUGGCUAGAGUCCGGAAGAGGAGAGUGGAAUUCCCGGUGUAGCGGUGAAAUGCGCAGAUAUCGGGAAGAACACCCGUGGCGAAGGCGGCUCUCUGGGACGGUACUGACGCUGAGACGCGAAAAGCGUGGGGAGCAAACAGG